rfam:Felis catus isolate Cinnamon breed Abyssinian chromosome C1, whole genome shotgun sequence.
GCCUGGGUGGCUCAGUGGGUUGAGCGUCUGACUUUGGCUCAGGUCACGAUCUCACGGUUUGUGGGUUUCAGCCCCACGUCGGGCU